rnacentral:rRNA from 1 species
GCACCCCUUGAUUUUCGAGGUACCUUCUGUUUCUUCGGCGGGCCCGCCCGCCGGUGGACAAACUCAAACCCUUUAUUGCAAUAGCAGUACUCUGAUAAACAAAACAAAAAGUCAAAACUUUCAACAACGGAUCUCUUGGUUCUGGCAUCGAUGAAGAACGCAGCGAAAUGCGAUAAGUAGUGUGAAUUGCAGAAUUCAGUGAAUCAUCGAAUCUUUGAACGCACAUUGCGCCCUUUGGUAUUCCUUAGGGCAUGCCUGUUCGAGCGUCAUUUCAAACUUCAAGCCCCCCUCAUGGCUUGGUGUUGGGCGUCUGUCCCCCCGGGGACUCGCCUCAAAUGCAUUGGCAGCCGGUACGUUGGCUUCGAGCGCAGCAGAAACGCGCGCGGCGUCCGACGGUGCCUGGCUCUC